CCUUUUCUAAUGCCACUGUCUCUUUAGAUAGACCAUAAGCUAAAGGACUACAGACGGACUCGUCUCAUCCAGAUGUCAGUGUGUCCGGGACCACUUGGUCUCUGUGUGAGUGAUGUCAUCAGUGCAUCUGAGCAUCUCGUAUAAAAUUCCAGGAAACUGUUCCAGAGCACCGUUAAAGCAAAGGACUAUUUCCGCCGAAUAUUGUCAUCACCGCUACUGUCUGACUCAGCAUUUUAGUUUGCUGAACUUGAAAUAUCUGUAAAGAGUGUUUUUUUUAAACUACUGACGCUCCUGGAUAGAAGCAGUGUAGCUAAUCUAGAAGAUUGCAGCACAGGCUAACAGACAUGGGGGAGAUGCUAGUGACAUGGGGCCAGCAUGACUACAAAACAGGGGACUUGUUUUCUGACUCAACUAAAUAACAAAAGAGAAGAAAGCGCAGGCCAAAGAUUGCAGGGGUAAGCAGGGAGCCGCAGACUUCCAGGAAGGCCAGACCGGCAUGCUUUCCUCCAGGGACAAGCUGAGCCAGCAGGCAGGGAAUCCCCGAGUAUUCCUUGGCAGGGAGGGGCGGUCGGUCCUGCCGUCACUCAUCAGAGGAGAGCUCACGUGAGACGGCCACCGAAACACUACACCGCCUCGUUCCCCUACUCCAGCCACCUCUCCCCUACUCAUUGUCUGAUUUGUUUUUGUACCUUUUCCCUUCUGAAUGUCUUGAUAUUUUCUUCCUGCUUUUUGUGCGUUUUGAACUAGCAAGACAUUUUCCGGAAAAUAAGGUUCUUGUGGGAGAGGGAUCAAAUGGAAUGUAGAUUUGUGGUGAGGUCUGCGUGUAUUUGUGUGUGUGUGUGUGUGUGUGUGUGUGUGUGUGUGUGUGUGUGUGUUCAAUGAGCACUGAAAUGAAGUGCAGUGCCUCGCUCUCGGGCUCUCUGUCCGUCCUCCUGAAUGACUGGAAUUGAUUCUUUUUCACUCCCGAGUCCUGAAAUAACCUGAAUGACCUCAGCUGACGGGAAGCUGCAUUUCAUUCCCAGCUGGAGCGAUGAGCCAUUUCCACUGAUGAAAGGAAGGGAAAGACAACACAGGCUAACCUUCUCUUGUGUCAAUAGUCGUGAACAUAAACGGACAGCCUGCCAAGCCUCGUUUAUCACUUUUAUGGCAAAUAUGCCAAUGUUUGAUUCACCAAGCUACUCAUAUGUGAGCCGCGUCUGCCAGGGUCACGCGUUCGUUGCUUAACCUUCUGCUGGCUCAAUUCCGAAAGCCACCACCGCCGGCAACAUCCCAUUACGUCUUCCUGUUACGCUGAGUUUGUUCCUCUUGGCUGGGGUUGACAGGAUUUGCAUUGAGGUACAGCAGACCUCCCAGAAAGCUACAUAAGGAACAGCUCUCUCUCCCUCUCUCAAUUCAAUGUGCUUUAUUGCCAUGACUGUGCAGUGUACAAUACUGCAAAAGUAUGUAAAAUGUAGUUUCUAUAUUAAUGUUAUUAUUAUUAUUAUUAUUAUUAUUAUUAUUAUU